GAUCUGGCUCAGGACGAACGCUGGCGGCGUGCUUAACACAUGCAAGUCGAACGAGAAUCUGCGGAAAGAGGAUUCGUCCAAUUGAAGCAGAGGACAGUGGCGGACGGGUGAGUAACGCGUGAGGAACCUGCCUUUCAGAGGGGGACAACAGUUGGAAACGACUGCUAAUACCGCAUGACACAUCGGAGUCGCAUGGCUCUGAUGUCAAAGAUUUAUCGCUGAAAGA
rnacentral:rRNA from 1 species